AACCCACCUCUACUGCCCCAUGUCACGGUCCCUGCGGGGCCAGGCCUGCCUGGCACGUCCACCCCGGGUCUCCCUGCCUCACCCUCUUGCGCAUCCACAGUGAACAGGGGCAUCUUUCCAAAAUGCAGAUCUGGCCGGGUGCGGCGGCUCAUGCCUGUAAUCCCAGCACUUUGGGAGGCCGAAGCAGGUGGAUCACAUGAAGUCAGAAGUUGGAGACUAGCCUGGCCAACAUGCCUCCAGCAUCGCCUCCUCUGGGAUCUUCUCUGACUUCCCAGUCGGUUUCAGAAGCCUCUGAUGACCCCAUGCGGAGAAGACUGCUCCCCUCACUGCUGGCACACGGCAGAUGCUCAGUAAGUAUCGUUCAAUGACUGACUAAAUGUCUCAUAAUAUCCUUCAUAAACAAGGGCCUGGUGUGGAUUCAUAAAUGGGUCUCUCAAAGUUUAAUUGGUGAGACUCUGUUGUAUCAGACAAUGAAGGGUUAAAAGAUAAUAUUCAAAAAAGUAAAAUCAUGACACACAAAUCUAGAAUGAACACACAUUGAUAAGGUUUGGAUCUGUGUCCUCACCCAAACCUCAUGUCGAACUGGGAUCCCCCGUGUCAGAGGCGGCCGCGUGGGAGGUGACCGGAUCGCGGGUGGACCCUUCAUGAAGGGUUCAGCACCAUCCCCUUGGUGCUGUCCUGGGACAGAGUUCUCUUGCGAUCUGGUUGUUUAAACGUGUGUGGCCCCUUCCCCCUCUCUUUUCCUCCUCCUCCUGCCGUGGGAGACACUUGCUCCAGCUUCGCCUUCCGCCGCGAGUUGAAGCUCCCCGAGGCCUCCUCAGAAGCAGAAGCCACCACGCUUCCUGUACAGCCUGUGGGACCCGGAGCCAGUUCAACCUCUUUUCUUUAUAAAUUACCCAGACUCGGCCGGGCACGGUGGCUCACGCCUGUAAUCCCAGCACUUUGUUGAGACCGAGGCAGGCAGAUCACGAGGUCAGGAGAUCGAGAACAUCCUGGCUAACACGGUGAAACCCCGUCUCUACUAAAAAUACAAAAAAUUAGCCGGGCGUGGUGGCGGGCGCCUGUGGUCCCAGCUACUCGGGAGGCUGAGGCAGGAGAAUGGUGUGAACCCGGG
rnacentral:lncRNA from 10 species